CAAGGAUUCCCCUAGUAGCGGCGAGCGAAGCGGGAAGAGCUCAAAUUUAUAAUCUGGCACCUUCGGUGUCCGAGUUGUAAUCUCUAGAAAUGUUUUCCGCGUUGGACCGCACACAAGUCUGUUGGAAUACAGCGGCAUAGUGGUGAGACCCCCGUAUAUGGUGCGGACGCCCAGCGCUUUGUGAUACAUUUUCGAAGAGUCGAGUUGUUUGGGAAUGCAGCUCAAAUUGGGUGGUAAAUUCCAUCUAAAGCUAAAUAUUGGCGAGAGACCGAUAGCGAACAAGUACCGUGAGGGAAAGAUGAAAAGCACUUUGGAAAGAGAGUUAACAGUACGUGAAAUUGUUGGAAGGGAAACGCUUGAAGUCAGACUUGCUUGCCGAGCAAUCGGUUUGCAGGCCAGCAUCAGUUUUCCGGGAUGGAUAAUGGUAGAGAGAAGGUAGCAGUUUCGGCUGUGUUAUAGCUCUCUGCUGGAUACAUCUUGGGGGACUGAGGAACGCAGUGUGCCUUUGGCGGGGGUUUCGACCUCUUCACACUUAGGAUGCUGGUGGAAUGGCUUUAAACGACCCGUCUUGAAACACGGACCUCCUGUGUGAAGUGAU
rnacentral:rRNA from 1 species